CAAAUGAAGACCAAGAUGGACGAAAAGCUUACCUCGAUGGAGAGCAAAAAUAUAAAAUCUUCUCCCGGUAUAGGUGUGGCUGAUAAUAAUAAUAAUAAUCAGACAAAAAGUGCCGAGGAUACAAGGAAGCUUUUCAAAAAGCGUAAAACUCUCUGCCAAGCUUGUAAUAAGAAGUGUAGCGGAGAAGUUCUACGAGUGCAGGACAAGUACUUUCACAUCGGUUGCUUCAAGUGUGCGCAGUGCAAUUCCAGUUUAGCUCAGGGUGGAUUUUUUGCUCGUGAAGGCUCUUACUAUUGUACUAAGGAUUAUCGCGAGCGCUGGGGCACUAAGUGUGCUGGUUGUGGCGAGUAUGUUGAAGGUGAUGUUGUAACUGCUGGAGAAAAACACGCAUUUCAUCCUAACUGCUUCCACUGUCAACGAUGCCGGCAACCAUUGCUUGGCCAAGGAGCUAAGGUCACAUUGGUACAAGGGCAAGCAUUGUGUCAUCGAUGCGUCAGUAUACCGGUACGGGAGGCUUCUACUCCAAUAAAUAACAGUGGACCCCCGCCAGGACUAGAAAGCCAGAUUGAUGCAGGUGCCUGCGCUGGGUGUAGACAGCAGUUACGAGAGGGUCAAGCUUUGGUAGCCUUGGAUCGGCAGUGGCACGUUUGGUGCUUCAAGUGUCAUAGUUGUGAUACUGUAUUGCACGGAGAAUACAUGGGCAAGGAUGGGGUACCGUACUGUGAAAAAGAUUACCAGAAGCAGUUUGGAGUCAAGUGUGCUUACUGCAGUCGAUAUAUAAGUGGAAAAGUAUUACAAGCUGGUGAAAAUCAUCACUUUCAUCCAACAUGCGCGAGAUGUACGAAAUGUGGAGAUCCUUUUGGGGACGGAGAAGAGAUGUACUUGCAAGGCGGUGCUAUUUGGCAUCCCCGUUGUGGACCUGGACCUACUGGCUCUAAUGGCAUUAUUAAUGGUCAUGCAGAGAACCACGUUCAUACUCCACAUAGAGAUUCAGAACGCAUUUGCAGUAGUGCUUCAGAGAUGCAGUUUUCAAUACGGUCACGCACACCAAGUCUCAAUGGAUCCCUGUACAGCCCUUACAACAGCCUGAGUCGCAAGUACUAUCCAACAAGAACUGGCAGUCCAGGAUUGAUCUUGAGAGAAUACGGAAGAGGUGGUGAGGAUGUAUCUAGGAUUUGUACAUAUUCUUAUCUCACAGAGACACCGAGCCAAGGAUACUUGAGGCGACCAAUUCAGCCAUAUGAUAAACCACCCACCAGCCCUCACUUCCAUAGACCUAGUUCCUCAAGAUCAAUAAGAAGUAGUGGCGGGCGCAGCAGCCGUUCUGGAAUGCGUGCAUUGGUUGAUGCACUCAGUGACGCAAGACCCAAGUCACCUGCAGCAGUGAGUCAAGCGGACAAUGAGGAGCCAAUUGAAUUGGCUCAUUUUCCUGAUGCGAUGAGGCCACCGCCAGGAACACAACCUCCUAUUGAAAGAGACGAUUUCCCUGCUCCACCAUAUCCUUAUACUGAUCCGGAAAGGCGCAGGCGUUGGUCUGAUACCUACAAAGGUGUACCAGUCUCGGAUGACGAAGAUGAGGUGGAUAACAAGGGAUAUAUCCAAGAAGCUGAGCAAAAAUUGAAGAAGGAGCAGGCUGAGUUGAGCAAAAUUGAUACAGGAAUAGCCAAAGUCUUUUUGCAGGACCGUGAAAAAGAUAGGGAAAAUUUACGACAUAGAGCAGCAAAUGUCGACCCAAGGAAUGCUUCGAGAACACCUUCUGCUGCUCGAGAACCGGCUUAUCGGUUACGUUACGAAAGUCCCGUUGGCGCUUCACCUUCGAGGAAUAUAGAUCAUGCUCGUCCAUGGGAGGAUGAAGAUGGUGUUAGUUACAGAUCUAGUGUCGGGCCUAGUUACAAUGCUGGGAGAUCUUCUGUUCGCUCCCCGGCUCCCAGAAAUUAUCCACCUCUUGGUACUCAGCGAGCAUCUACUCUGCCAUCAGCCAGUAGGCAUUACCAUUCGUUGUGAGCUCUCUUCGACACAUUCCGAAGCCGGGAUAUGGUCUGGCACCGCGAAGUCACACCUUUUCUUCAACUGGUGGUUCCGUUUCCGCCCUCCCCGGUGACUAUUCAUUCAGUGGAAUGGGCGAUAAAACGCACAGCACAGAUUUU
rnacentral:misc_RNA from 1 species